CCAGGCACAAAGCUACGACAAAGCAGGGUAUUGCCCGAUGGAUAUGGAUUUUCCAGCUCUCAGAAGUCAAUGCAUACGGUCCGUCCACUAGCAGAAAGCUGCAUCCUUUUCCGCACCACACCCGGACACCGUGAGUGUCCCGAUCAUCCACACGUCGUCGGCCAUCGGUCCGCCCACCAGCGACCGUUUCGUCCCCCACGUCCGAUGGU
rnacentral:lncRNA from 1 species